GAUGAAUAACGUAGCGAAAUGCGAUAAGUAAUGUGAAUUGCAGAAUUCAGUGAAUCAUCGAAUCUUUGAACGCACAUUGCGCCCGCCAGUAUUCUGGCGGGCAUGCCUGUUCGAGCGUCAUUUCAACCAUCAAGCCCCAGGCUUGUGUUGGGGACCUGCGGCUGCCGCAGGCCCUGAAAACCAGUGGCGGGCUCGCUGUCACACCGGGCGUAGUAGAUUUUAUCUCGCUCAGGGCGUGCUGCGGGUUCCGGCCGUUAAAAAGCCUUUUUUACCCAAGGUUGACCUCGGAUCAGGUAGGAAGACCCGCUGAACUUAAGCAUAUCAAUAAGCGGAGGA
rnacentral:misc_RNA from 1 species